rnacentral:lncRNA from 1 species
AGUGCUAAUACAUAUGAAGAAUGUGGAAAUGCUUCUGAUGCAGCUGCCUACCAAAAUAUAGAAAACAUGAAAUCUGGUAAUAAAUUAAAAGUUUCUUAGUGGUGCAUGCGUAUAUUAUAACACAAUAUAAUUAAAUACCAUUAUAAUGCAACAUCGUUUGUAACGUUCAUUGUGAUUGGACAACGUGACCCAUUUUCAUAUGUCGGUUGGUGAUUUGAAUCUGAUAUUUGCUAAUUAAGUCACUUGCUUAUAGUUAUAUGGUUUGUGUAUACUUUUUUCCAAUCAAAGUUUAACAAACAUAUGAGUUAUAUAACAACAUGUCUAAUAAACGUCAGUAAGUCACCUACAAAUAUUUAAUGGUGUCUAUCUUAUCAUGUAGUCGUAUUCGUUCAUUUGAAGAUAACAUCUGAAAAAUUCAAGAAUCUGAAAAGAUUUUAAAACGCUCAAAUAUCUUGAAAAUCUAUGAAGAAGACAAUAAGAGACAUAUACAACAAUUAGUAAAUUUCUCAUGAAGGACGUAUAUUUUGGACAAACCUAUCAAAUUCCAAUAAUGUAAUAUUGACCUACAAUUGAAUAUUUUAACUCAUUUGAAACCGUAUUCAUGCAAACUAACAUUGGACCUUUAAAAGGAAAAAUGAAAGUGAAUAUAAAAUAAAUACUCUCUGUAACAGGUCUUCAUCUCGUCUUACAAUUUUGCAAGCUUUAAAUAAAUUUAUUUUAAAGUUUAAAUCAAAACAGUGCAUUUAACGAGCUGUUGCGUAAAUAUAAAUCGACGAUAGUUUAGCAAUGCUCAAAUGUCGUAUAUUUAAGAGGAUGCAACAUUUCAAGGUAUAAAAAACAACCCAGGAACACACUAGUAAAGGACCUUAAGGAUUAACACUACAAUUCAAACGAUUUCUAAGUAUACAUUCUAGUAUCUCCUGCGUUAUAUGCAUCAGUCGGGGACCGAAAGAGUUAACACUACAAUUCAGACAAUUUCUAAGUAUACAUUCUAGUAUAUAUAUGAUAUAAAAACGAUACAUAUUCAAAACAUAAAUAACUAACAUUCCGUAGAAAAAUUCUAUAAACAUAAGUUUGAUUUAUGUUUGUAUGUAAAGAUACAAGGACUAUGGAAACACUUACAUGAUAAAGUAAUAAGUUUGAAACGCAUAAUUAUUUAGUUUAAUUAUUAGACAUGCAAUGAAAACAUUUCAGGGCACAAAAAAGAAGAGAAGAACCUAGGCAAUUACUAUAACAUGAAGAUUUAGACAUCUGCUAUACUUACCAUGAGUCGUAAUAGUCAAUGUGCAGUUUUAUUUUGUUUGUAAAUAUAGGUAUAUGAAUUCCGACAGAUAUGCAAGAUACGCGUAUGUUAUAGCUACUCUUUGCAGUCCAACAUUUGUCAACAACAAAUAAAUUCUAAGGAACUAUUUCCUGAGUGCAUAAAAUAAUUGCCAAAUCAUGCCAGUAAAUUAUACAUAUGCAUUCCCUGAUCGUUUUGAUUUUACAC